rnacentral:rRNA from 1 species
AUUGAACGCUGGCGGCAGGCCUAACACAUGAAAGUCGAACGAGUGGCGGACGGGUGAGUAAUGUCUGGGAAACUGCCCGAGGGAGGGGGAUAAAUACUGGAAACGGUAGCUAAUACCGCAUACCAUCGGAUGUGCCCAGAUGGGAUUAGCUAGUAGGUGGGGUAACGGCUCACCUAGGCGACGAUCCCUAGCUGGUCUGAGAGGAUGACCAGCCACACUUGAACUGAGACACGGUCCAGACUCCUACGGGAGGCAGCAGUGGUGAAUAUUGCACAAGGGGCGCAAGCCUGAUGCAGCCAUGCCGCGUGUAUGAAGAAGGCCUUCGGGUUGUAAAAUACUUUCAGCGAGGAGGAGAUGCUCGCAGGAGAAGCAUCGGCUAACUCCGUGCCAGCAGCCGCGGUAAUAC